rnacentral:rRNA from 1 species
UUAGCUUGUUGGCGGGGUAACGGCCCACCAAGGCUACGAUCAGUAGGGGUUCUGAGAGGAAGGUCCCCCACAUUGGAACUGAGACACGGUCCAAACUCCUACGGGAGGCAGCAGUGAGGAAUAUUGGUCAAUGGGCGAGAGCCUGAACCAGCCAAGUAGCGUGCAGGAUGACGGCCCUAUGGGUUGUAAACUGCUUUUAUAAGGGAAUAAAGUGAGUCUCGUGAGACUUUUUGCAUGUACCUUAUGAAUAAGGACCGGCUAAUUCCGUGCCAGCAGCCGCGGUAAUACGGAAGGUCCGGGCGUUAUCCGGAUUUAUUGGGUUUAAAGGGAGCGUAGGCCGGAGAUUAAGCGUGUUGUGAAAUGUAGACGCUCAACGUCUGCACUGCAGCGCGAACUGGUUUCCUUGAGUACGCACAAAGUGGGCGGAAUUCGUGGUGUAGCGGUGAAAUGCUUAGAUAUCACGAAGAACUCCGAUUGCGAAGGCAGCUCACUGGAGCGCAACUGACGCUGAAGCUCGAAAGUGCGGGUAUCGAACAGGAUUAGAUACCCUGGUAGUCCGCACGGUAAACGAUGGAUGCCCGCUGUUGGUCUGAAUAGGUCAGCGGCCAAGCGAAAGCAUUAAGCAUCCCACCUGGGGAGUA